AUGCUUACUUCAACAGCACAUUUACUAAAAUUGGGAAGAUACAGAGAAGAUUAGCGUGGCCUCUACACAAGGAUGACUUGCAAAUCUAUGAAGUGUUGCAUAUGAAA